rnacentral:tRNA from 1 species
GACUUGAUACUUUAAAAUAAAAGAUCUGAUUUGCAUUUAGAUAAUAAGUCAAAAGACUUUCAGGUCA